UCCGGUGUGGUUUAGUUGGCUAUAAUAACCGCAGCAGAGUGCCUGCGUAUCGAAAGGUAGCUUGUAGACAAAGUGAUUUUCAAGUCGGAGACCCGAGUUCGAUCCUCGGCGCCGGAC